GAAACUCCUAUACAGCCGGCUCUGAGUGAAUUAGUCUUUCUUCACUGCAAUUCCUCUGUCUUGAUAAGUCAGCUCUGACUAGGCAGCAGCAAGCCUGACUUUCCAUCUGUUACUCUCAAGCAAAUGCUAACCUGCCUGCUAAAUGCUGCUGAGUGGAACACUAGACCCUCAAAGACACUGAAUCUACUAAGUAACAUCAUCCCCAAAAGGAUUGUUGGAAACCAGAUGAAGUUCUCGAGGGGUAUGCAUUUCUGAAUACAUCUUCUGAAAUUAGAGCAUUCUUAGGUAAUAAGACAAGUUAAUAUGUAUAUGAUGAAAAUUCAUGAAGGAAACAGUGUUAAAAAAUACAUUAUGAUAUGGAGAAAUAAAGGAUAAAAGUUAAUCUGUUUUAUGUUCACUCCCACAUGGAACAGAAGCACAGAUCUUGCAGAGGUCUAUGUCCUCAGCUGUAGUCCUCCCUGUAAUCUCCACCAGAUUUGAGAUCUGUCUCCCCUGUCCCCAACACACAUAUAAAAUGUAAAUAAAACUUUAUGUUGACUCAGUU
rnacentral:lncRNA from 1 species